rnacentral:rRNA from 1 species
GAUGAACGCUGGCGGCGUGCUUAACACAUGCAAGUCGAACGAUGAAGCCCAGCUUGCUGGGUGGAUUAGUGGCGAACGGGUGAGUAACACGUGAGUAACCUGCCCUUAACUCUGGGAUAAGCCUGGGAAACUGGGUCUAAUACCGGAUAGGAGCGCCUACCGCAUAGUGGGUGUUGGAAAGAUUUAUCGGUUUUGGAUGGACUCGCGGCCUAUCAGCUUGUUGGUGAGGUAAUGGCUCACCAAGGCGACGACGGGUAGCCGGCCUGAGAGGGUGACCGGCCACACUGGGACUGAGACACGGCCCAGACUCCUACGGGAGGCAGCAGUGGGGAAUAUUGCACAAUGGGCGAAAGCCUGAUGCAGCGACGCCGCGUGAGGGAUGACGGCCUUCGGGUUGUAAACCUCUUUCAGUAGGGAAGAAGCGAAAGUGACGGUGCCUGCAGAAGAAGCACCGGCUAACUACGUG